UACAAUGGAGAGUUUGAUCCUGGCUCAGGAUGAACGCUAGCGGGAGGCCUAACACAUGCAAGCCGAGCGGUAGGUUUCCUUCGGGAGACUGAGAGCGGCGCACGGGUGCGGAACACGUGUGCAACCUGCCUUUAUCAGGGGGAUAGCCUUUCGAAAGGAAGAUUAAUACCCCAUAACAUUUUGAAUGGCAUCAUUUAAAAUUGAAAACUCCGGUGGAUAAAGAUGGGCACGCGCAGGAUUAGAUAGUUGGUAGGGUAACGGCCUACCAAGUCAACGAUCCUUAGGGGGCCUGAGAGGGUGAUCCCCCACACUGGUACUGAGACACGGACCAGACUCCUACGGGAGGCAGCAGUGAGGAAUAUUGGACAAUGGGUGAGAGCCUGAUCCAGCCAUCCCGCGUGAAGGACGACGGCCCUAUGGGUUGUAAACUUCUUUUGUAUAGGGAUAAACCUACUCUCGUGAGAGUAGCUGAAGGUACUAUACGAAUAAGCACCGGCUAACUCCGUGCCAGCAGCCGCGGUAAUACGGAGGGUGCAAGCGUUAUCCGGAUUUAUUGGGUUUAAAGGGUCCGUAGGCUGAUUUGUAAGUCAGUGGUGAAAUCUCACAGCUUAACUGUGAAACUGCCAUUGAUACUGCAAGUCUUGAGUGUUGUUGAAGUAGCUGGAAUAAGUAGUGUAGCGGUGAAAUGCAUAGAUAUUACUUAGAACACCAAUUGCGAAGGCAGGUUACUAAGCAACAACUGACGCUGAUGGACGAAAGCGUGGGGAGCGAACAGGAUUAGAUACCCUGGUAGUCCACGCCGUAAACGAUGCUAACUCGUUUUUGGGUUUUCGGAUUCAGAGACUAAGCGAAAGUGAUAAGUUAGCCACCUGGGGAGUACGGACGCAAGUCUGAAACUCAAAGGAAUUGACGGGGGCCCGCACAAGCGGUGGAUUAUGUGGUUUAAUUCGAUGAUACGCGAGGAACCUUACCAAGGCUUAAAUGGGAAAUGACAGGUUUAGAAAUAGACUUUUCUUCGGACAUUUUUCAAGGUGCUGCAUGGUUGUCGUCAGCUCGUGCCGUGAGGUGUUAGGUUAAGUCCUGCAACGAGCGCAACCCCUGUCACUAGUUGCCAUCAUUCAGUUGGGGACUCUAGUGAGACUGCCUACGCAAGUAGAGAGGAAGGUGGGGAUGACGUCAAAUCAUCACGGCCCUUACGCCUUGGGCCACACACGUAAUACAAUGGCCAGUACAGAGGGCAGCUACCAGGUGACUGGAUGCGAAUCUCGAAAGCUGGUCUCAGUUCGGAUUGGAGUCUGCAACUCGACUCUAUGAAGCUGGAAUCGCUAGUAAUCGCGCAUCAGCCAUGGCGCGGUGAAUACGUUCCCGGGCCUUGUACACACCGCCCGUCAAGCCAUGGAAGUCUGGGGUACCUGAAGUCGGUGACCGUAACAGGAGCUGCCUAGGGUAAAACAGGUAACUAGGGCUAAGUCGUAACAAGGUAGCCGUACCGGAAGGUGCGGCUGGAACAUCUCAUUUUAGAGCGUCUAUAAGACGAUAAACA
rnacentral:rRNA from 1 species